rnacentral:rRNA from 1 species
UACGUAGGGACCGAGCGUUGUCCGGAUUCAUUGGGCGUAAAGAGCUCGUAGGCGGCUGCUCAAGUCGAAUGUGAAAACUCGAGGCUCAACCUCGAGCCUGCAUUCGAUACUGGGCGGCUAGAGUCUGGUAGGGGGAUCUGGAAUUCCUGGUGUAGCGGUGGAAUGCGCAGAUAUCAGGAGGAACACCGGUGGCGAAGGCGGGUCUCUGGACAGUUCCUGACGCUGAGGCACGAAGGCCAGGGGAGCAAACGGG